CAAGCUUCCAGGAAAAGCCACCAAGCUUCAGUCUAGAGUUGACCGUACCGCAAACCGACACAGGUGGGCAGGAUGAAAACUCUAAGGCGCUUGAGAGAACUCAGGAGAAGGAACUCGGCAAAUUAACACCGUAACUUCGGGAGAAGGUGUGCCCCGGUAGCGUGUAGAGACUUGCUCUCGAAGCGCGAUGGGGUUGCAGUGAAAUGGUGGCUGCGACUGUUUAAUAAAAACACAGCACUCUGCAAACACGAAAGUGGACGUAUAGGGUGUGACGCCUGCCCGGUGCCGGAAGGUUAAGUGAUGGGGUGCAAGCUCUUGAUCGAAGCCCCGGUAAACGGCGGCCGUAACUAUAACGGUCCUAAGGUAGCGAAAUUCCUUGUCGGGUAAGUUCCGACCUGCACGAAUGGCGUAACGAUGGCCACACUGUCUCCUCCUGGGACUCAGCGAAGUUGAAAUGUUUGUGAAGAUGCAAUCUACCCGCGGCUAGACGGAAAGACCCCAUGAACCUUUACUGUAGCUUUGCAUUGGACUUUGAACCGGUUUGUGUAGGAUAGGUGGGAGACUGUGAAGCCGGGACGCUAGUUUCGGUGGAGUCAACCUUGAAAUACCACCCUGAUUUGUUUGAGGUUCUAACCUUGGUCCGUGAAUCCGGAUCGGGGACCGUGCAUGGUAGGCAGUUUGACUGGGGCGGUCUCCUCCCAAAAGGUAACGGAGGAGUACGAAGGUACGCUUAGGGCGGUCGGACAUCGCCCACAAAGUGCAAUGGCAAAAGCGUGCUUGACUGCGAGACCCACAAGUCGAGCAGGUACGAAAGUAGGUCAUAGUGAUCCGGUGGUUCUGUAUGGAAGGGCCAUCGCUCAACGGAUAAAAGGUACUCUGGGGAUAACAGGCUAAUUCCUCCCAAGAGUUCAUAUCGACGGGGGAGUUUGGCACCUUGAUGUCGGCUCAUCACAUCCUGGGGCUGUAGUCGGUCCCAAGGGUAUGGCUGUUCGCCAUUUAAAGUGGUACGCGAGCUGGGUUUAAAACGUCGUGAGACAGUUUGGUCCCUAUCUGCCGUGGGCGCUGGAAAUUUGAAGGGGGCUGCUCCUAGUACGAGAGGACCGGAGUGGACGAACCUCUGGUGUACCGGUUACGACGCCAGUCGUAUCGCCGGGUAGCUAAGUUCGGAAGAGAUAAACGCUGAAAGCAUCUAAGCGUGAAACUCGCCUUAAGAUAAGAUUUCCCGGAGUCUUGAACUCCCUGAAGGGUCGUCGAAGACCACGACGUUGAUAGGUCAGGUGUGAAAGCGCAGCAAUGCGUUAAGCUAACUGAUACUAAUUGCCCGUGCGGCUUGAUCAA
rnacentral:rRNA from 1 species